UCAACCUCAUGUGAUGAUUGCCCUGUCUC
rnacentral:piRNA from 1 species